rnacentral:rRNA from 1 species
GAUGAACGCUGGCGGCGUGCCUAAUACAUGCAAGUCGAGCGAACGGACGCGAAGCUUGCUUCUCUGAUGUUAGCGGAGGACGGGUGAGUAACACGUGGAUAACCUACCUAUAAGACUGGGAUAACUUCGGGAAACCGGAGCUAAUACCGGAUAAUAUUUUGAACCGCAUGGUUCAAAAGUGAAAGACGGUCUUGCUGUCACUUAUAGAUGGAUCCGCGCUGCAUUAGCUAGUUGGUAAGGUAACGGCUUACCAAGGCAACGAUGCAUAGCCGACCUGAGAGGGUGAUCGGCCACACUGGAGCUGAGACACGGUCCAUACUCCUACGGUAGGCAGCAGUAGGGAAUCUUCCGCAAUGGGCGAAAGCCUGACGGAGCAACGCCGCGUGAGUGAUGAAGGUCUUCGGAUCGUAAAACUCUGUUAUUAGGGAAGAACAUAUGUGUAAGUAACUGUGCACAUCUUGACGGUACCUAAUCAGAAAGCCACGGCUAACUACGUG